AACGAACGCUGGCGGCAGGCUUAACACAUGCAAGUCGAACGGGUGUAGCAAUACAUCAGUGGCAGACGGGUGAGUAACACGUGGGAACCUUCCUCGGGGUACGGAACAACUCAGGGAAACUUGAGCUAAUACCGUAUACGUCCGUGAGGAGAAAGAUUUAUCGCCCUGAGACGGGCCCGCGUCGGAUUAGCGAGUUGGUGGGGUAACGGCCUACCAAGGCGACGCUCCGUAGCUGAUCUUAGAGGAUGAACAGCCACUCUGGGACUGAGACACGGCGCAGACUCCUACGGGAGGCGGCAGUGGUGAAUCUUGGGCAAUGGGCGCAAGCAUGAGCCAGCCAUGCCGCGAGAGUGAAGAAGGUCUUCGGAUUGUAAAGCUCUUUUGCCAGGGAAGAUAAUGACGGUACCUGGAGAAUAAGCCCCGGCAAACUUCGUGCCAGCAGCCGCCGUAAGAC
rnacentral:rRNA from 1 species